rnacentral:rRNA from 1 species
CGAACGUUAGCGGCGGGCCUAACACAUGCAAGUCGAACGAGAAAAUCCCUUCGGGGGUGAGUACAGUGGCGCACGGGUGAGGAACGCGUAGGUAAUCUACCCUUUGGCGGGGGACAACAUUCCGAAAGGAAUGCUAAUACCGCGUAAGACCACGUUCACUACGGUGAGAGUGGUAAAAGGUGCCUCAAAGCACCACCAAAGGAUGAGCCUGCGUCCCAUCAGCUUGUUGGUAAGGUAAUGGCUUACCAAGGCUAAGACGGGUAGCUGGUCUGAGAGGAUGAUCAGCCACACUGGCACUGGAACACGGGCCAGACUCCUACGGGAGGCAGCAGUGAGGAAUAUUGGGCAAUGGGCGAAAGCCUGACCCAGCCACGCCGCGUGUGUGAUGAAGGCCUUCGGGUCGUAAAGCACUGUGGGGAGAGACGAAACAGCGCAUCAGGAAAUGGGUGCGCCUUGACGGUACCUCCUUAGCAAGCACCGGCUAACUCU